AUGUUAGCUCAGGUGCCAAUCUUAAGGGGAAAAAAAAAGCUGUUAGAAAGAGCUUCCUAUCUGAUUCUAGAAUAUCAAAAGUGUUCUAGCAGAUUCCAGGACCUGGGACCCUUUGGAUUGAGUGAGAGGAAACACCUGCAAGCUCUCAACGCUCUGGAUCUUACUUCUUACAUCUUUUACAGCCACGGACUAUCUUUAAGACGAAGGAGGCCAGAUGACAGAUGUGUUUUAUUAAUGGGACUUAUGCUUAAAUUCCUGCCCAGCACCCAUCUAGGAAAUUCUGCUUCCAUUACAUCAGCAUGAAGCCCAGGACACACUGAAGUCCAAUCCAGAAAGAGGGAAGAGGACACCAUUUAGGCUCCAUAAAUACAGCAAAACUGAAUGAUAUGGUUCUAUAAACGACCUUAAUAAUAAAAAUCUGUGAAGCACAGUCUGUUUUCA
rnacentral:lncRNA from 1 species